GCAAGUCGAACAUUCUCAGCCAGACACAAUAGAUUGAAAGGCACUGGCUGGCUUGGGCUUGCAAAAGAAACUGCCAUUAGUACUCGACCCUUGAUGAAGAAGGUGGCUUCUCCAAUUGUCCAAGUGUCAGCCGUGUAUGUGGGUGUGCAAGCAGUUCUCCAGUCACCAAGAUGCGCGUCCGAAUCCACUAUAAAGAUUGGGACAGGGCCGAAUGGAACCUUUCCACUCCCCCUUGAUCUAC